ensembl:snoRNA SNORD39 Small nucleolar RNA SNORD55/SNORD39
UGAAUAUACGGUGACACCUCAGGAAUGCUGCAGACUCCCAUGCACAGUGGAGAAGCCAACCUUGGACAGCUGAGUGUGCA